GACGAACGCUGGCGGUAUGCUUAACACAUGCAAGUCGAACGCGACGAAGGUGCUUGCACCUUCAGAGAGUGGCGAACGGGUGAGUAACGCGUGGGUAACCUACCCUUUGGAAAGGAAUAGCCUCGGGAAACUGGGAGUAAUGCCUUAUAAGAUACAAAAGCCGCAUGGCUCAUGUAUUAAACGCUCCGGCGCCAAAGGAUGGACCCGCGUCCCAUUAGCUGGUUGGUGAGAUAACAGCCCACCAAGGCGACGAUGGGUAGCCGGUCUGAGAGGGCGAACGGCCACACUGGAACUGAGACACGGUCCAGACUCCUACGGGAGGCAGCAGUGGGGAAUAUUGCGCAAUGGGGGAAACCCUGACGCAGCAAUACCGCGUGAGUGAAGAAGGUUUUCGGAUCGUAAAGCUCUGUUAUUGGGGAAGAAAAAAAGACGGUACCCAAGAAGAAAGUCCCGGCUAACUACGUGCCAGCAGCCGCGGUAAUACGUAGGGGACAAGCGUUGUCCGGAUUUACUGGGCGUAAAGGGCACGCAGGCGGUUUUUUAAGUCAGAUGUGAAAGGUACCGGCUCAACCGGUGACAUGCAUUUGAAACUGAAAGACUUGAGUAUUGGAGAGGCAAGUGGAAUUCCUAGUGUAGCGGUGAAAUGCGUAGAUAUUAGGAGGAACACCGGUGGCGAAGGCGGCUUGCUGGACAAAUACUGACGCUGAGGUGCGAAAGCGUGGGGAGCAAACAGGAUUAGAUACCCUGGUAGUCCACGCCGUAAACGAUGAGUGCUAGGUGUUGGGGAGACUCAGUGCCGCAGUUAACACAAUAAGCACUCCGCCUGGGGAGUACGACCGCAAGGUUGAAACUCAAAGGAAUUGACGGGGACCCGCACAAGCAGCGGAGCAUGUGGUUUAAUUCGAAGCAACGCGAAGAACCUUACCAGGUCUUGACAUCCUCUGACAAUCCGAGAGAUCGGACGUUCCCUUCGGGGACAGAGAGACAGGUGGUGCAUGGUUGUCGUCAGCUCGUGUCGUGAGAUGUUGGGUUAAGUCCCGCAACGAGCGCAUCCCCUGUGGUUAGUUGCCAUCAUUAAGUUGGGCACUCUAAGCAGACUGCCGUGGAUAACACGGAGGAAGGUGGGGAUGACGUCAAAUCAUCAUGCCCCUUAUGACCUGGGCUACACACGUGCUACAAUGGUCUGGAACAGAGGGCAGCGAAACCGCGAGGCGAAGCUAAUCCCUUAAAACAGAUCUCAGUUCGGAUUGCAGGCUGAAACUCGCCUGCAUGAAGUUGGAGUUGCUAGUAAUCGCGGAUCAGAAUGCCGCGGUGAAUGCGUUCCCGGGUCUUGUACACACCGCCCGUCACACCACGAGAGUUGGCAACACCCGAAGUCAGUGAGACAACCGUAAGGAGUCAGCUGCCGAAGGUGGGGUCGGUAAUUGGGGUG
rnacentral:rRNA from 1 species